AUAGCGGCGAUAAAACAUUGAAGAGAUUUUAAGCUUGUGAAAUUUGGGCUGCGAUUCUGGAGGCAGUUCGAACAACAAUCCGAUUAGCUUCCGUCUCGUGCAGAUUCUCUGGUCCUUCCUCCGAUUAGCUUCCGUCUUCCGUCUUUUCUUAGGGGUUGUACCAGAAAGAUUAUGCACUGCGGCAGAAAUAAGAUUCUACUUCAGUAACACCUUCACAACAUCAGGGAGUUCCAGUUACCUAAACCCCGGCAGAAAUUGUAAUUUUACUUCUUGGGAAGCUGGUUGUGAGCCACGAUGCGCUUUUCCAGAAGUGUACCAAAACUGAAUUGCAAAAGGAUGGAAGGUAGGUUGAAUCUGAGAAGAAAAGCGCUAUGUAUUUGGUGUUGACGUCCCCGAACCGCAAAUUCCCAAAUGGUGGAUCUGGUUUUACUAUCUAAUGCCUACAUCUUGGUCCCUAAACGGCAUGCUUUCUUCGCAAUAUGGCGAUAUAGAGAAGGAUAUCGAGAUUUUUGGAGAAAAGAAAACAUAGGCAACGUUUUUGAGGGAUUAUUUUGGAUAUCACCAUGAUCAAUUACCCAUUGUGGCUGUAGUGCUGAUUCUGUUCCCUCUUCGUUUUGCCUGUUUAUUCACACUUUGCAUUUAGAAGUUGAACUUUCAAAGGAGGUGAUAGAAAUUGAAAUAUCUGGCUGGUUUAUGUUUGUGCAGAAAAACAUGUUAAAUAUUCACUUUUACUAUAAUGUUUUGAGAGAAUAUUGUAUUUUCAAUGGGUAGAUAUGAGGAUAUCAUACAUAUUUGUAGAUUUCUUAUGACUCAUAUCUGUGUUUGGAGUAAAUACUCCCUCUCUCUACUGUACACACUGAUUAGUUCAGAAAAACAAAGUCUGUAAUUUUUGUUUCCUUUCCUUUUCUUUGUCUAUUUGGAGUAAUACUCCCUCUCUCUACUGGACACACUGAUUAGUUCAGAAAAACAAAGUCUCUAAUUUUUGUUU